GGAAUAUAUACACAAUAGAUGAAUGAAAUUUAGAAUACAAAAUGAAAAUAAACAGAAAAUCACUUCCAAACCAGGAAAAAAGGUGAAUGCAAGCAACGAGGGAUAUGAAAUGGGUCAGGAAAGGUUCGCAGGAUGAAUCUUGAAGGCAAAUAAAAUGGGAUCAGGAAGAGGAAUCUACACAGACCGAUAGACCGAUAUGAACAACGUGUGAAUUAGAUGUAAUAAAAAAAAAAAAAAAAAAA